GAAGAGGACCACAGGACGUUGGGGAUCGUCGCGGGAGCAACCAGAAUCAUCGCCAAGCGUUAUCAGGUAUUAACCUUAAAUAUUUAAGUGUUUAAUUGUGUGUUUUUUUGUAUUUAUAGGAGGGUUUACAUCACCACUGAAGAGGCCGACUGGACAACGGGGAACGUCGCUACGAUCGUCGCCCCAGAGUUACGAAUUGGGCGUACACCAACACUGAAGAGGACUACUGGACAACGAGGAUCGCCGCCAAAACUCACGCCAAGAGUUGCGAAGAGGGCGCACAUCAAAGCUGAAGAGGCGGGCUGGACAACGGGGAACGCCGCCACGACCGUCGCCCCCGAGUUGCGAAGGGGGCCUACAUCACUACCGAAGAGGACUACUGGACAUCGAGGAUCGUCGCCUUACAUAGAGGAUCGCCGCCCAUUCGAAGGAUGAAGUGUCAAAAGAUGGUACGGUUGGGUAUUGCCUAAUUGGCAUUUUUUUUACUUUAUUCCAUGGUGAGAUUUGCGUGAAAAAUGUUUCCAAUACCUUUACCCGGUCCGUUAUUUUCCCUUUAAACAGUGUAUCGUUUCACGAGCCAUUCACCUUGCACUGAGCACGCGAAUUCACUACACAUUUAGCACACGGUGCAUCCGAUGUUUGUGUUAGCUUUUGGCACUAAGUAGGGGUCAUUGU